rnacentral:lncRNA from 1 species
AAGAUGUUAGUCUGAGGCUGGAUUAGCUGCUGGGAGAGUCUGGUUCAGGGGGCUGGCCAUGGUGGGACAUAACCCAGAAAAUCAUAAGCGGUGAAGACAAGAGAGUCUGUUCUCAACUAGACCUACCAGGGGAAUUUCCUGCCAAGGGUAGUGUGUGUGUUUUCUCUUUGUUCACCUAAAAAGGAGGGGCAGAGACCUACACCCAGAAGAGCUCAUGCAUGACCUCCCCCCAUGACUCACUCUGUAAAUGUUCACCACACUUUUCCCCUUGAGCAUUUACCAUCUCCCGUCCUCCCACAAUUGUUCACUGUCUGUCUCCUGCCCUAAAAUGUGAACUUCCCGAGGGCAGGCACCCUGUCUCUUUCUUUACUGUAUCCCCAGGGCCUGGAAUAUGUCUGGCAGGCAGUAGUUGCUCAACAGAUAUCUGUUAAGUGAGUAAAAGAAGCAGACUCUUCUUGGUCUGCAGAGAACCCUCCCUCAGUCUCAGUGUAGCGGUGAGAGCCUGACACCUCCGGCGAAGGGGGAGAUGAAUCAGCGCCCCAAGCCUAAACAGCUCUCACCAGCCCCAGGGAGACUCCCUGGGGUGACUCUGAGCCACAGGUGUGGGGCUCAGGCCCUGGCAGCACUUGGUUCCUGCAUCUCCAUCACUGCAGCCUCUCACUUACACCCUUCCCGGCCGGCCAGCAUCUGUAGUGGGCGAGGAUGAGGAACCAGGUGAAGUGGAUGUCUUCUCAUUAGCCCAUCCCAAUCCCCAGCCCGAAGAGGCAGAAACCAUCCCGGGUUUGAGUCUUGUCUUGAGCACCCUGAGGCCAGGACACAGGUUCGUGCUGCCCUUUC